rnacentral:rRNA from 1 species
UCGAGAAUUUUUCUCAAUGGGGGAAACCCUGAAGGAGCGACGCCGCGUGGAGGAUGAAGGUCUUCGGAUUGUAAACUCCUGUCAUGAGGGAGUAAGACACAGCGUUAACUGCGUAUGUGUUUGAUAGUACCUCAAGAGGAAGAGACGGCUAACUCUGUGCCAGCAGCCGCGGUAAUACAGAGGUCUCAAGCGUUGUUCGGAUUCAUUGGGCGUAAAGGGUGCGUAGGCGGUUGUGUAAGUCAGAGGUGAAAUUCCGGGGCUCAACCUCGGAACUGCCUUUGAUACUGCUCAACUCGAGUACUGGAGAGGAGACUGGAAUUCACGGUGUAGCAGUGAAAUGCGUAGAUAUCGUGAGGAAGACCAGUGGCGAAGGCGAGUCUCUGGACAGUUACUGACGCUG